CAGCCGCCACGGUAAUACGAAGGGGGCUAGCGUUGCUCGGAAUCACUGGGCGUAAAGGGCGCGUAGGCGGACUGAUAAGUCAGGGGUGAAAUCCCAAGGCUCAACCUUGGAACUGCCUUUGAUACUGUUUGUCUUGAGUUCGAGAGAGGUAAGUGGAACUGCGAGUGUAGAGGUGAAAUUCGUAGAUAUUCGCAAGAACACCAGUGGCGAAGGCGGCUUACUGGCUCGAAACUGACGCUGAGGUGCGAAAGCGUAGGGAGCAAACAGGAUUAGAUACCCCUGUAGUCCCUGUCUCUUAUAC
rnacentral:rRNA from 1 species